CAAGACCAAGAUGUUCGGCGGCCACAACCUCCGCUUCCGCCACCAGAGCGCCUCGCUCGGCUGCCCCAUGACCUUCUCCCUCUUCCUCCCCGCGUCCCCGGCCUCCAAGCUCCCCGUGCGUGCCCUAGCUCCCGCCCCCAGGACCACACUCCCCGUCUCCGGCCUAGAGAUCUGACGGCGUUGUCGUGGGUGUGGUGCAGGUGCUGUACUGGCUCUCCGGCCUCACCUGCACCGACGAGAACUUCAUCAUCAAGUCCGGCGCCCAGCGCGCCGCCGCGGCACACGGCGUCGCCCUCGUCGCCCCCGACACCUCCCCGCGUACGUUUAACUUUAACCCCCCUCUCUCGCCGCGUUCAAUUUCUAGGGUUUAUGCCUGUCCCUCCCUCCGCGGCCGUACCAUCCAAUUGUGAGUGGAAUAUUGGAAUUGGUGGGGUGAUGUGGCGACUGGCGAAACGCAGUAAGGUUAAGAUUUGUUUUUGUGGAAUUUUUUGGUGGUUUAUGCAUUUAGAUUCGGGAAUUGGGAUGCCUCUACCAGACAAAUUGUAGGAUGUACCCAUAUGCCUGCAAUUACCACGGGUUCACGACCAAUUCUUUUUUUAUUUUAUCAAAAAAGAAAAAGAAAAAUAAAAGGGAAAAGAAAAUUGAGAUCAAUCAGGAUAGGUAUGAGCGGCUUGAAUUCUGCAUGUUGAAUUUCGAUGGAAAUAACCUCUGAUGCCUCAGAGUAAGUUUUGUGCGUGCAUAUGGAUACACUCAAUUCCAAGCAUUUUCUGCCUCAGGGACUAUUAAGGGCCUAACUCUAAUCACUAAUGUGUAAUUGCAUCAUGUCAAUGGUGGCAGUGCACAUGACUUGUGGUACCAUGUCGUCUAUUUGUUUGAUGAUUACGUUUGUGAUGUGUUUGCUGAACGCUGAGGCUUCAGGGCAAUUUGCAACCAUAGAUGCUAAAACUGAUCAGAUAUUAGUAAACUACACAAUUGGGUCUGUUACAUUAUCCACCCAUAAAUAGUCCUGAAGACCAUGUCCAUUUGCUAGCACCACGCCUCCAUUUGACUGUUUGAAUUGCUCCUGUUUAAUGGUUAUAUUAUGCCAUUUUUGUGCCUCCAUGGAUUAUUGUGUCCAAAAUUGUUUGCGGUAGUGGGAUUGUUCGGGGCUGGAGCCUGGAAGACACUAUAACCAAACAAGGCCAACAAAACACAAUCUGCCCCUUGUCUGCAACAUGUAUAAACUGUAUUUUACAUUUCAUUUUUUAAUUUUUUGAGGAAUAAGAUUCAGAUUCUUCUGUCCAGCCUAAAGAUGGCGUAGAGUCGAGUCUGAAUAAUUUUAUGGGCAUUCUAGCUUGAUGAAUGACUGCCGUUUUCCUGAUAUUCUGCCAACCGACAAAGUGUUUUGUUUCCUUUGACUACCAAAUAACUUUUGGAAUGUUCAAUGUGAUCUCAUAUGUAUUCUUCUUAUUGCCUUUCUUUUGUCAUGAACACAUUAUAUGAUCUUGGUCCUUGUUUAAACCUUUUCCUUUUCUCAUCACUCCUUUGUUUCAUGCAGGUGGACUAAAUGUAGAAGGGGAGGCAGAUAGUUGGGAUUUUGGUGUUGGUAAGGACUAUACCUACGAUACUCUUGUUGUGCCAUUUGCACUUUAUGGGAUAUAUAAUUCGGCAACUUCCAUGGGAGUCUACAAAUUACGCAUGAACUUCCAUUGCCAUUUAUAAACGAUUUCUAGCAUUCGUCGAAAACCUUCCAGUAGCUGUACUGUUUGCUAUUUUUUGUGUUAAAUUUAUGCUGCUUUGUUUGUAUUGUGUUAGUUACGGUGCAUAUAUUUAUAAUUUUGUUUGCUUUUGUUAAAAAACAUCUGCACAUAAUUGCCGCAGUUGACAGAUAAACCUCUUGUGGUGUUGAAGAGAAAGUAAUUAUUUAAUCAACACAUCAGAUGAAGAAUAGUCCUUUUCAUGUUGACAUUGCUGUAUAUUUAUGUGGUCAAAACUCAACCAGAAAGUAGUCUGAUUGUCCUAACAGCUAGCGGUGACACGCUUUAUCCCAAGUUCCCAACCAUCAGUGUGCCGCCAGCUCAGAUGUUUUUAUUUCUAAUUAUGCAAAGCAUAGCAGAUUUAUAUCUUGUGGAUUAGAUUUUUUUUUAUCAAUGUGGUAUCUGAUAAUGUGGUUGCUCUUUAGCCUUUGUUACCUGUUAAGUCAAACAUCAUGUACUAUUCAUUCACCAAGUGAAUUUGACAGAUAUGGCAAAUGGAAAUGUCAUGUGGACAUUUUUCUUUCAUCUGUCACCUAUUUUUGACCUUAAAGAUUCAAUAAUGGAGUACAUGUUAUUUGGUCAUAAUAGGAUUUCUAUUCAUUAAUCUGUGAGGUUCUUCUACACAAGGUCUAAAUCAUUUGGGUAAUAAUGAAUUCAUGAAUUUGUCCCUUAGAAGGUGCAGCUGCUUUAUAUUUGUUGAGUUUUUAUAUGCAAGUACCACUUCAAGAAUUGUGUCAUAUGGAUAGGCCUAUGUGUUGUGCAUGUGGCUAGAGGUAACUAACUUUCCUAUCUUGACUAUUUAUGCGUAGGUGCUGGAUUUUAUUUGAAUGCCACAAAUGAGAAGUGGAAAAACUGGCGCAUGUAUGAUUAUGUUGUGAAGGAGCUGCCAAAAGUUUUAACUGACAACUUUGAACAGCUUAACACGUCAUGUGCAUCAAUUUUUGGCCACUCUAUGGGAGGGCACGGUGCACUGACUAUCUACUUGAAGAACACUGACAAAUACAAGGUACUAUUUGACACUAUUUGUUAAACCCUCUGCAUCUGGAAAUUCCUGUCUAUGAACCUUUUCUCAGAUUAGGAAACCCGUAGGCAUCUACUUCACACAAUAUCUGUACUCUCUUGUAAUUACUUCCAUGAAAUCUCACUUGGCAUUGCGAAUUUAUCUUACCUAUGCAGUCGGUGUCUGCAUUUGCUCCAAUUGCUAACCCAAUAAACUGCCCUUGGGGUCAGAAAGCAUUCUCAAACUAUCUGGGCACAACUAAAUCAGAAUGGGAGGCAAGUCUUCUCUGAGAUCAUUCCCCUCUCUCCCUCCCUCCUUCCAUUCUCAAACCGGCCAUGUAAAGUACUUAAUAGUGCAUGCUUACUGCAGGAAUACGAUGCAACCUUGUUGGUUAAGAAGUGCAACACACUUUCAACUCCUAUCCUGGUUGACCAGGUAUAAUGCAACAGUGCGAUAAAUAAUGCCCUUUUCCUGCUUUCAUGUUAUUUCUAGCCCAUCGAUGUUUUUAUUCUAUAUUGUUGGAAUGAACCAUUUAGUGUGUUACAUUGCAUAUUUCAAUUCGAAGUGUAGUACAACCAAGCAACUAGUCAUCUCCAUAAGCAUACAAGGUAGUUGGAUAAGGUCCCUGGAAGGUAUAAAUGAGACGCAGUCUUCUCUGAGAUCAUUUCCCUCCCUCCCUCCUUCCAUUCUCAAACCAGCCAUUCACUUGAUGUGACACAAGGAUCCUGUUGUAAGGUGCUUGUGAUAACAUGGAGUCAUCCUCGUGGACAACAGGGAAUUGAUCGGUUAGUUAUAAAUUGGGGCCUAGACCAAUUUAAAAUGAGUUGGUGCCUGAAAGACGUGAUGCCAUUUUGAUUGGUAUUCUAGCUGGGCAUGAUCGGUUAGCUUUGAUAUGAUUUCCUCAUCCAGUGAUACUUUCUUCCGUCUAGAUUGGCCAACACUGGUAGGAGUUCAUUGCAUGUUUCAGUAAGUGAAUCUGCCAAUAUCAAGGUCAACAUGUUAGAAGUUCCAAGUGUAGCAUCCCUUUUCUGGCAGGGAGUGAGAUGUUGCGAGGUUAUAAUUAUGCAUGUUCAACUGAACUGCCUAGAGCUGAAGUUUGGCAAUUCAACAGCACUGCGUCAAGGAAUCGAUUAUACAUAGGAUGACAGGUUCGAUUGAACUAGUUGAGAGUACAAGGCCCUGGAGAGUAACCGUUGGCUUGUACAUGACUUGUUUCUGAAGGAUAUGAAUUUGAGAAGAUGUGACAUUUAUCAUCUCACAAUCAGAGUGCGCUUUAUUUGCAAUCUGGACUGCCUAAUGCUCACAUCUGCAUUGCUUAAUUAUCUUGCUUCCAAUCAUAUAACAGUGAAGAGGAAGUAAUGUUGGCACAAUCACUUAAGUUUAUGCGUGGAGUGGAACAGGGAGAGGAUGACAAGUUCCUGGCGGAGCAGCUGCUGGCGGGCAACUUCGAGGAGGCGUGCAAGGCGGCGGGCGCUCCCCUGAUCCUGCGCAUGCAGCCGGGAUACGACCAUUCCUUCUUCUUCAUCGCCACCUUCAUCGACGACCACAUCGCGCACCACGCCCAGUUCCUCAAGAGCGGCUGACUGGCCAGCCACCUGUAAGCGAUCGGUAGAAGUGCCGAGUCAGCGGCGUCGCCUGCCUCCAUAUACUACCAUCUGUGUUGUUAUCACUUGUGUGUAUGCGUCGUGUGUCGGUUGGAUUGAGACGAGACGAAGUGUGUGGAAAUAAUGUGGACGGCUUGCGGUCGUCUCUGAAGUGCGCGUGCGUGCGUGCAUGCAUGCCUUGGCUGGAAAUUCAGUCGGUAGAAUUUGCUGGCCCUGCUGUAGUAGCAUUUGAGGUUUAAAGCGUCUGUGGCAGCCUAGUAAAGCACACAUGCCGAGCGUAGCAGGUGUCACGUGAUGGGUUGCCCUCGUCUGGAUCUGCAAUUUUUUCUUUGUGCACGGAAUGCGCUAUGUCGAUCGGAAUCUUUGCCCGUAGUAUGGCGUGUGACCAUGCACGCGCGGGGAGUUAUUUCGUGGUCAUGUCAAAACUUGUACGUGGAUCAGCAGUAAUCUUACUGUAAUUCGUACAGCUACAAGGUGAUACUCUCUCGAACUGAUACGUGGAUUAGCAGUAAACUUACUGUGUACUGCACGUUUUUCUCUAUUUCGUACAGCUACAAGGUGAUGCUACCUCUUGUCCUUUUUAGUGUGCAUAUUAGUUUUGUCCGAAGUAUCAGUCCUUUGAUCAAAUUUACAAAAAAAGGUAUCAGUACUCACAAUGUCAAGGCAACACUGCUAGAUUUAUUAUAAAAUGUAGAUUCGUAGUAUAUGUAGUUGGUGUUGUAGAUGUUCAUGUUUUUCAAUAUAAAUUUGGUCAAGAUUUAAACUUCAUAAAAUUUGUCUUGACACAAAUCUGACACGAGGAGUAAAAAUGACCAGAGAUCUCAGUAAAACAACUCGUGCACAAGAGAGCGAACAAGCACUCCCAUGUACUACUCCAUAGUAGAUAAUUAACCCAGCCAUUGUUUCGGGCUUCACUGCCUGCCUCGAGCCAAACACNNNNNNNNNNNNNNNNNNNNNNNNNNNNNNNNNNNNNNNNNNNNNNNNNNNNNNNNNNNNNNNNNNNNNNNNNNNNNNNNNNNNNNNNNNNNNNNNNNNNNNNNNNNNNNNNNNNNNNNNNNNNNNNNNNNNNNNNNNNNNNNNNNNNNNNNNNNNNNNNNNNNNNNNNNNNNNNNNNNNNNNNNNNNNNNNNNNNNNNNNNNNNNNNNNNNNNNNNNNNNNNNNNNNNNNNNNNNNNNNNNNNNNNNNNNNNNNNNNNNNNNNNNNNNNNNNNNNNNNNNNNNNNNNNNNNNNNNNNNNNNNNNNNNNNNNNNNNNNNNNNNNGAGCCCUCCACGCCCACCACCUCUCACUCCCGCCCCACCCCGCCGACGCAUGGGCCCAUUCCGCGCGGAGGGCCACAGCGCAGCGCCUCCGCGUGGGCGCAUGGCCGGUCGCGACCGCCACCUCGCCCGCUCCCCCCGCGGUUAUUUCUACCGGGCCGAGCCGCGCCUGGAGAGGGCAGAGUCAGUGGAGGUGGAAUAGACUAGACUAAUCUUGUAGCGGGGUCUCCGGCCGCCUCUACCACCGAGGCGAGCACGCCCCUGCCGGCCUGCUCUGUCGUCGGUGAGCACGCGCAGCGGCCCGAAGAGGCGCGUACUCGCGGGGCAAAGUGCGCCAGCGACCCGAGGUAUACCUCGUUCUCUUCCUGGUCUGGAUCCGUCCGUCUACUUCAGUUUCGUACUGAGUAGAUCCACUGCUUAAGCGUGAGCUGUUGGUGAUCCGCCGUAGGUUUUACUAUCUCCUCCUUCCGUUCCAGUAGAUCCGCUUGAGCUAGGCUGUUGGACUAGGAUCAUGGGUGCGUGCAUCUCAAGCCCGAACUGCUGGGCAUCCACCGUAGUAGAAUCGCGCCUUCACUUGGAAAUAUGAUUAAAUGGUAGGGGGUCGACCGAAUCAUGAGUAGAUCUAUUUUCUUCAACAAGUAAAUCAUGCGUGCCAAGUACUUUUUUUCAUUGCCGGCUCGUGUGUGCAUCUUAGUUCUUCAGUGCAGAUUGCUGGCCAUCCAUGGUAGAUUUAUAGUGUGCUAAUCUGAUGGUGCAAGCUGCUCGAGGAAACCAAAAGUUCUCUAUGCCUUGCUCUACUACUUUUAGGUUGCUCUGGGUUUCUUCUAUGAAGAGAUGUGCACCAGUGAUAAUAGUGUGAGAUUGUUAUUUUCCCGUUACUUCUUUUGUGAUGGUUGGUGUGUGUGCGAUCUUAAGUGCAGACCGCUUGUCAUUCACUGUUAUUUUUUAUGUGUACAUUUAGAGUGUCUGAGUUUCUUUUAGGUAAUGCUCAUUUCUUUCCUAGAUGAGAUAACUAGCUCAUGAUUCAGUACUGUAUUUCUCUUCAUGAAGAUAUAUUGUACUCCUGCAGGUUUGCUUGCCUGCUGACCUUACAAAUAUUUUCUUUUCAGUAGGUGCCUUGGUAUAGAAUGAAGUGAAGAGAGCAGAGUAUCUUGGUCGUACUAAUCAAUUCAUCAUAUUAUGUGCGCAAUAAGAUUUUGCUAUGCUUUCACCGUUGAUGCCCACUGGUUGGAUCAUGCUUCUGUUUAUGAGCUCAUUGAAGUAACUCUCUCGUAGCUCAAAUGGGCCAAUUUCUCGUUUGUGUGGCACACAAAACCUUCAGCUAUCCAUCUCCAUAUCAGUUGGUCUCUCUUAAUUUUGUUAUCUUCUGGAAAUAUGCUUACGUAUAAUAAAUGAUGCGAAGGUAGAUCAUAGAAACAUGAACACAAUUCUUAAUCUAAAGCAAGAUGGUGUAGGCUACUUUUUGUGAUUCAACACAAAUAGCAGGCAUACAUGCACCAAUACUAAGAAAAUUAGCAAAGAAAAUGAGUAAAAGAGGCACUUGACUUGUAGAUUAUAAAAGAGUGAUGAUCUAGAAGUCAACCCUCUUUUACCAGUAGUUUUGAUCUACCUUCUCAUCCAUAGGAUUAGUUAUUAUGUCUAAGCAUGUUUUUAGAAGAUUAGAAUAUUAAGCAAGCUCAUUCGAUAUGUAAGGUGGAUAGUUUGAGGUUUUGUUUAUCAUGAAAAACAAGGGAUUAGCAAGUUUGAGCUCGGUGGUAGAAUUGCUUAGUGAGAUCGUGAAUAGGAGCAUGAUUCAACCAAUUGACAUCAAUGUUGAUAAAGGCAUGGAAAAAUCUUAUUGUAUACAUGAUAUGGUGAUUGAUUUCAUAUGCUGAAGAACCCUUGCAUGGCACUGAGUGAAAGCCUUCUAUCCAAAGGCGGCAAGAUGUGAAGAUUAUCCAUCCGAAAGAGCAUGACAGGUAGCAGCUAUGUCACAAUGAGGUCUGUUGCAAUUGUUGAUUGGGUGUAGCUUGUUGAGUGCUCCAAGUUCUACAUGCCCUGGAUUUAGAAUAUUGUGCUGCAUGUCUCCAUUCUUGGCAGUCACAAUGAUUCAAGAAUACUGUGUUUGCAAUGACAUGAAGCUCCUAUUGUAUUUCUACCAACUAGUGCUGAAUUAGUCACGAGUCUCUUGGUGUAUUUGUACCCACUGAUGCUGAAUUAUAGUUCGAGUCAAGAACUGUCAAAGUUCUGUGUCGGCUCCUGCCGUUAGCUCAUGAGGAACUUGUUUACCCUAUUCCUUUAUUUUGAUGCUGGCUUGUUAUACAUUGUGUCUCUUUUCUUUAUAGCAGUAGCAGCUUUUGAAGUCUUCUUGCUCUGCUCUUUGUAUGAAAUGUAAGGUAAUUGUUCUGAAAUGAUAUGUAUAUGUUACUUUUGUAGGUAAAAUUACAUGUACAGUACCAACGUCUUCAACUGUUAUUUUCUUUCUGACUGCCAUCAGUGGCAGGAUCACAAGUGAGGCCGUGCAAUGUCCGUGCUUAUCUACUUGUUAAGCCGUUUGAGGAUAUUGGUCCUGCAUGCUUUCCAUUUUUGCUAAGUAGUUUUUGCUAAUCGAGGCGGCAUGAGAGGCUGAGGCUCUAGAGCACUGCAUUUGCCUUGUUUUGAUUUGUAUUUCUUCUGUAGUAGGGGCAUUAAGUUCUAAUUGAGAUUGUAUUGCAGUCAGUUCAGUUUAUAGUACAAUUUUUCAAACAGUUCAGUUUAUAAUAAGACAUGAAGUUGUAAUUGAGAUACGAUUUAAUUUAGCCGCAACAAUUUUUUGAUCCCUAGAAAUUCUAGUGUUACUCGAUCCAAAGCCAAUUCCACAAGCUGUAGUGUACAUGAUCCUUUCAAUUUUUUGAGACUUUGGAUAGUUAUAGCGGCCCAUGGUGCAAGAUGUACCUUUCUUUGGCACAAACAACAACAACGCGGUCAGCUCAUAUGCUCUUGGAUGAACAGUAAAUUUGAAAAUUGUUUAAAAAUAAAAAAAAAUCUGAAUUCUUUUAGGCAAACUUUAAGAAAUGUUUGGAGUGCUUGCACUCGUGGCCAAAAAGAAAAAUCAAAUCAAUGCUCUGAAAUGGUACUUUUGAACACAUAAAUUUAUUUUGUUUGCCAUGAUUUUCACCAAUGUGAUUUUAUUAUAAUGAAACUCUGCAAGCACUACAAACAUUACCUAAAGUUUGUAAAAAAUGGUUCACAUUUUUUUGGACCCUAUUGUUCACACCAGAAGCAUUUGAUCUCGAGCUGAGAAAAGUACUGAUGCGGUCAAUGUUGGUUUCCUUCUACAUUCCUGGCUACCCCAGCUUCUACUAGGAAACAAAGAUUUUUCUAGUGUUUUUUUAAAAAGAUUUACUGUUCACUGAGAGCAGCCGAGCCCGGGUUAGAAAUGAAUAUUCGCACGCUACCAGCCACUUCACCCAGAACACCACCAGACUCGCGUUUAGUUAAAGCCGCACAAGCUAAGACAGGGAGAUCGCAGUGUGAUCUUCGCUUCGACAGGUUACUGAUGGUGCCAGAAAAUACUACUCCCCCAGUUUGAUUUAUAAGAUGUUCUAAUAUAUUUAAAAAUCAGAACUAUAUACACGUGUUUCAGUGUGUUUGUUUAUUUAUUUCAGUCCGUAUGUAGUCUAUAUUGAAAUGUCGAGAACGUUUUGUUAUUUGGAACAGAGGUGAUGCAUCACAUUAACUGUUUGAAACAUUUAUGUUGCAUGCUUCAACAUUGCACAUAACGUGGUGAAUAUUACAUGUGACUGUGUGUGCUUCUGUAUUUAGAGUAACCGAGCCGUUCAUAUCAACGCAUGUCUCCUCACGUGGCAUUGCAAGUAGCAGGAGCUAAUCGAAUUCGUCGACAUGGACUCCAAGGUGCGAGCCUCCAGCGCUCCCCUGCUUCUAGUCCGACCAAGAUAUAGGUUCAAGGACGCUGCAUUUGCCUUGCCUUCUGUAACAACAUGAAGCUUAGGGUCUGUUCGGAGACUCUCCACUACCCAAGUCCGCUCUGGGAGUUGGUGGAGCUAUAGUUGAAAAUGACGGAGCGGGGAAAAAGGAGCUCCAUAGAUUUUGAGAUUUCAAGAAGCUGGAAGACUGCUGAACACCUCCUUACAUGAUAUUCACUUAUGCCUGAAUUCAGUUAUCACUUCCGUCGAUUCAAGAACUGUCAAGUUUCUGCCGUGCCUCCUGCAUUACAAUGUACUGCUGGUAGGUUAAUUUGCCUGCUUGGAUUAUCUGUUUCGUUUCUUUCUUCAUAGCAGCUUUCAGAAUUCAGACUCGUUUAGUGCAGACUUGUGGAAUAAGAAUUUGUUCAGUUAAUAAGAUCUUGUGAAGUUUUGCCUUCAAUUCUAGCCGUUGCGUUUUUGUUUCUUCAUCACCUUUUCAUGGUACAAAGUUUACCAAACAAAGAGGAAAAGUAGUGGGUGUUAGUGACCCUGUUGAUGCAUCGAUAUCUGAAGUUAAGAAAGAUUUGAUGAGCAAACCAUAUCAGGCAACUUGUUACUUUUCUGUAGCGUAGCAACACGUCAGUUUACACCACAUGUCAUGACGGUACAUAAGCAUGAUUUUAGGUUGAUAGGGCACACAGUAGCAAACAAAAGGAAAUACAAAGGCAACAAAAUAAAUAAUUCUCCUUUUGAAAAAAUGUAAAUAAAUAAAUUUAUAUAAUCAACUAUUCACUGGUUCUUUCUUCUACGCGUUCUUGCCUCUAGUUGGGUCGCACUUUUCACGCACCAUCUUUUUUAAUUAGCUAGAAUUCAAAAUUUAUAUAAUCAACUAUUUUUUUUCUAUUUUAUUUAUUGAUGUGAAACUUGAAUCUAGAUUAGAAACUGUGUGGUGUAAUAGAAGCAUAUCGUGUUGAUGUUGUCAAAUUUCUGCCCUUUUUUGUGAACACCACAAACCGUGUUGAUGAUACUUCAUCCCACCAACUGAUGGCUGAUGAGCAGAAUGACAAAAUUGUUUUAAUUCUAUCAUGAGGACUUCUUCAGUUUAUGAUGGCAUCUGUUUGUCCACAAGCGCAUUAGAUGCUCCGAUGCAGCAAAUAUAUUUUGUAUCCAUCCUUAGGCUUCAUUCAGUUUGAAGGAUUUUUACAAGAAAAGCAUAGGAACAAAGAUCCAGAGAAGAAUUUCCUAUAGAUGCAUUCGGUUUGUAGGAAACGCGUACGGGAAUUUUGUAGGAAUACUAUUUAUUUUCUAUUUUUUAGAGAAAUUUACACAUCCACUCAAAGCUUAUUUUGUGUGUACGAGCGAGACAAGACAAUUUCUCUACUACUCCUAAAUCCUACGUUUUUGUUUCCUCUAUACCGAAUGAGGCCUUAUACUUUCGAUCAAACAGUGCAAGGAAAUAGUCUUAGGACCUCUUUGAUUCAUAGGAUUUCUAAAAUGCAGGAAUAGGAAAAAUACUGGAACGCAGUAGCAUGGCAUCUCCAAUCUUAUAGGACUAAUGGGCGUUUGAUUGCACAUAGGAUAGAUGUUCUUGACACGGAGCUGGAGUAGAUGGAAAUUCUACUAUGAAAACUAGUACAAACAAAUCCUAAGGAAGAAAAUCUUACGAAUUGUAAUCCUAGGAAUCAAACCACGAAUGUAGGAAAAAGCCUUAAGGAUUACAAUCCUACAAAUUGUCUUUAAAAAUCAUUUGAGUGAAAGAGGCCCUUCGAAGUUAGCUGCGGGAAUAUAGCUGCGGAGUCUAGAUCAACCACCGUUCUUAAAAUUAGCAAUAUGUGGUCAUUUGCUCCACUACGGACGCAAGGAGGUGCGUGGUUCCAAAGUUGAUUAAAUCCAACGACCAAGGCAGCUGUGGGUUUCUAGACAACGCAAAACUUAGCUAUUUAACUACACUAAUGCACCUGUUUAGAGAGUUGGGGCAUGGAGCCAUCGAUGGCAUCAUCUCAAGUGUCCUGACGCCCAUUGUCUAUUGGCAAGCACCAAAGGACAGGGCCAAAGGGGCAUACGCUUAUCCUAGCGCAUACUUAGACAUAGUCACAUACACAUCCACUGAUCCACAUCCACAUGGCUAUUAAUUAGUGUGUUCCACAUGGGUGACAACGCGUCGCAAAGUCAGCGCAUGGAGAUUGAUUGGCUCAAAUUUGACAAUACAAAUAGGAAAGACAUAUGAGUUACUGUGGAAAUUACUUUUGGAGGCCGAGCUCCAUGGAGGCCUCCAAAUGCAAAAUUCAAAAUUCAUGAAAAUUCAUACAUUUCAAAAAAAUUCUGGAAAAAAAUACAGAUAUAGAUGAAGGCAUAAUGCACAAGUGUGUAUAUUUUCAGGAUGAAAUACAUUGGAAUGAGGGCUUUGCAGAAAAUAAAAAACAUUUGGGGCUUUUUAACACAUGAUACUAGUCAUCCCCAGACCAUGAAUUUGUCUUUUUGUACAAGUAGUAUUUCAACGUAUUUCAUUCUGAAAUUUUACACACAUACACCUCACAUCCUUGUUUACUUGUACAGUUUUUUCCAGAUUUUUUUUGAAACCAAAAGUUUUUAUUUUUCAAAAAUUCGGCCUUCAUGUAGGCCGAGAUCCAAAACGCUUCUCUCGAGUUAUUGACCCUUAAAUGAUGCAACAAUUCAUGGAGUUAAACAGGUUCAAAUCUGUCCUUUGUGUUUUUUCUUUUCUUUCGGUGCGCCGGGCGGUGGUUCCCUAGUUGAUUAAUCCAAUUAUCCAAGUAACUGUCAUGCUUGUCUGGAGUCAAUGCAAACUGAGUUGUCCUGGUGCUUAAACAUGGCCACAUGGAUGUUAAUUAGUGAUGCACACAUGAUCUUAGGGAACAUCAGGAAUCUCUCUAGUUUUUCUAAGUCACAUGAAAACUACGCGUACGCUAAGUCAGUGCCUUGUGAUUGGUGGUGCGGUGUAUAAUUACGAGGCUAUUUAUUUCUUGCAUCUCAAGAUCUAAUCUAAGCCUUGUCAGAGUAACACCGUCUACUAUUACUACCACAACCGCUGAUACAUGGGACCCCGCUAUCCACAGCCCCGCAUGGCAGCCAGACUAUGAACAUGACCGUCUAACUAAUCCAGAUACAUCGUUAAAUUAGUAAGAAUUCUGUACAACACUGGUUUCUAUACCUUAGCCAGUUUCUCCCUUAUGACACGAUCAUUGCCUAGUGUGCCUUUGGAGUAACCACAUAGCGCUUCCAGCCCUCUGAGACCCAAACCACUCCCAGAGAGGCCGAGACAUGGAGAUUGCCAUGGGGGCUAUUGGCCCUCUCCUCCCGAAGCUCAGUGAGCUGCUCAUGGGAGAGCUCACCAUGGAGAAACAAGUGAGGAAAGGCAUCGAGUCUCUCAUGGUAGAGCUCACAUUGAUGCAUGCUGCCCUGAGUAAGGUGGCAGAAGUUCCCGUGGACCAGCUUCACAAGGGGGUCAAGAUUUGGGCAGGAAAUGUCAAGGAGUUGUCAUACCAAAUGGAGGAAAUUGUUGAUGUUUUCAUGGUGCGCGUGGGGGAUGGUGGCAAACCUGCCAACCCAAAGAACAAAGUCAAGAAGAUACUCAAGAAGGUUAAAAGAUUAUUCAAGAAUGGCAAGGACCUCCAUCAGAUCUCUGAUGCUCUAAAAGAAGCGGUUCAUCAAGCUAAGCUGUUGGCCGAGCUGCGCCAAAGGUAUGAGCAAGGGAUGCGAGAUCCUAGCACUAGUGCUAGUGUUGACCCUCGCAUGAUGGCCCUAUACACAGAUGUGUCUGAACUCGUCGGCAUUGAUGAAACACGAGAUGAGUUGAUAAACAUGUUGAUUGAAGGUGAUGAUUGGUUGAAGCAUCCAUUGAAGACAGUCUCUAUUGUUGGAUUUGGUGGGUUGGGCAAGACAACUCUUGCCAAAUCAGCGUAUGAGAAGAUCAAAGGGCAAUUCGAUUAUGAUGCUUUUAUUUCGGUUUCUCAGAAUCCCAGCAAGAAGAAAGUCUUCAAGAAUAUUCUCUAUGAACUUGACAAGAGCAAGUAUGCACGCAAUCAUAGUGAGGAAUGGGAAGAAAAUCAUCUGGUCGAUGAAAUAAUUGAAUUCCUUAAUGGCAAGAGGUACAUGUGUUUCUUUCCUUUUGCAAACGGAUUAAUUAUCAUUUUGUCUACUUAAAUAAUGAUAGUAUUUUAGAGUAGUGCAUAUGCAUCUUGAUACCAUAUUGUUGACUUACAAUUUUAUGCUUUUGGCGUAAAUGAUGUAGUUAGUACAUAACCCAUCUUUCAACAAUUAGGGAGUGCAUACAUUAAGGCGACCAAGAAAUUCUUAUGCCUAAGUGGAUGAUCUCAACUGUUAAUGCAACAAUUGCACAUUUCUAGAACUAUAGUUGCACAUAAGUUAUGGUAUGUUUGUGGAAAUCUAGGUCUCAGAAUAUGCAAUUUGGUCGAGUUAUAAAUACUUUUUUGUUAGUUUCCUCUGAAAUAACAUACCCAUACUAAUAUAAUAUAUAUCUUACUGUAUAUAUCUUCAUUGUACUGAUUUACUAACUAAUGCAAAAUGUAAACAAAGGUACCUCAUCAUAAUUGAUGACAUAUGGGAUACAGAAGUGUGAAAAUUAAUCAAGUGCGCUUUCUCCAAGAAGAGUCCUGGAAGCCGACUAAUUACGACAACCCGCAUCAUCAGUGUCUCUAAAGCAUGCUGCUCUUCCAAGGAUGAUAUCUACAGAAUGAAACCUCUUUCAGACGUUGUGUCAAGAAUGCUCUUCUAUAAAAGAGUAUUUAAUGAGAAAGGGUGUCCUCAAGAGUUGGUGCAAGUAUCCAAAGACAUUUUGAAAAAAUGUGGUGGCAUACCAUUAGCUAUUAUUUCUAUAGCAAGUCUUCUGGCUAAUAAUCAUGAGAUGAAAACAAAGGACCAAUGGUAUGCUUUGCUCAAUUCCAUUGGUCGCGGACUUACAGAAGAUUGCGGUUUGGAGCAGAUGAAAAAGAUAUUAUUAUUCAGUUAUUAUGAUCUACCUUCGUAUCUAAAACCUUGUUUGUUAUAUCUUAGCAUCUUCCCAGAAGAUCACAAGAUUAUGAAAGGAAAGCUAAUAUGGAGAUGGAUAUCAGAAGGUCUUGUUUAUAGUGAAAAACAAGAAACUGACUUAUAUGGGCUUGGUAACAACUACUUCAAUGAACUUGUAAAUAGAAGUAUGAUCCAGCCAAUUUGCAUUGAUGAUAGAGAAGAUAAACAAGCGUGUCGUGUACAUGACAUGGUGCUUGAUCUCAUAUGCUCACUGUCAAGUGAAGAAAACUUCGUCACAAUUUUGGAUGGCACCGGAAGAAAAAUGCCUAAUUUGGUUCGCAGAUUGUCCAUCCAAAAUAGCAAGAUGGAUGUUGAUAUUUCUAGGAUGGCACACAUGAGAUCUAUUACCAUUUUCACCAAUAAGGUUGUCGGGAAACUGUUGGAUAUUUCAAGUUUUCAAGUUCUUCGUGUGUUGGAUUUCGAAGGUUGUGAUAUCUCGGAUAUUGGGUAUGUGGGAGAUCUUUUACAUCUGAGGUACUUAGGACUAAGAUAUACUCAUGUUGAGGACCUUCCCACUGAAAUUGGGAAGCUACAAUUUUUGCUUACCUUGGAUUUAAGAGGUACUAAGAUAAAAGUUCUGCCAUCAAGUGUUGUUCAUCUAAGACGUCUGAUGUGCCUGCAUGUUGACUAUCAUAUGAAGCUGCCGUCUGGGAUAAGUAAUCUGGUUUCCCUAGAAGUGCUAGGUACAAUGAUGAUGUUUGACAAGGACCUCAAUGCUGUGAAAGAAUUGGGCCAUCUGACCAAGCUCAGGGUGCUCCAAGUUUACUACCAUGUUGAUGAGAUCCUGGAUAAAGCUUUGAUGAGAUCUCUUAGUAAUCUGUACAAACUGGACAGUCUAGAUAUUUAUGUCCGUGGUGGAGAAAUCAAUUUCCUGAGCGAAGAUUGGGUGCCUCCUCUGCAACUCCGUAGAUUGGCUUUCUCGUUACCGUCGAGUUGGUUCAAGACACUGCCAUCAUGGAUCAAUGCUUCAUCGCUUUCUCUCCUCACCUAUCUUCAUAUAAAGGUGGUUAAAGUGUCAUCGGAGGCCAUCCAACUUAUUGGGAUGCUUCCUGCUCUUUGUGUUCUCGAGAUAAUGGAUAUUUCUAAGUUCUAUGAAGAGCGUGUGGUGGAAAUGUCCGCCCUUUCCUCUGUUGCGUUAUUCCCGUGUGCGACGGAGUGUCACUUCCUUUGUAUUGGUGCAGUGCCAUCUAUGUUUCCACGAGGAGCUGCACCGAGGCUUAAGCACCUUGGCUUCACCUUCUCAGCUAAGUGGAUCACCCGUGAAAACAUCGAUUUGUGCAUGUGCCACCUCCCUUCCUUGGAGCGAGUUGAGGUUAAAGUUAUUAAGGAGGAAGCUAGUGAUCGCGAGGUGUAUGAAGCAAAGGUAGUGCUGAGGGCCGCAGCAGAGGACCACCCCAACCAUCCCGUCCUUGACUUACAUUGACGCAUGUAUAGGAAUAGGUACGCACACUAGGUGUUCAUUCUUAUGUGUCAUUGCUCUUUCUUUGUUUCUUUCUCAGUUUCUAGAGAAAUACACCUCCACGAGCUAACCUCUGGUGUACGUGUAUUCUUUUGUUUUCUCACCAAGUGUUUAAUUCCUCUCCACUUCUUUGUACAGUUUUAGGCGGCGAGAGUGCUAGGUCGAUUCACCAACUCUUUCACUCAGCAGGUAUUAUGCUAACAGCAUUGAGCUAUACUUAAUUUCAAUAUUUUGUUUAGCUAGCUAGGUCGAUUGAUCUGGACCCUAAAGCCUAAAUAUUGUAAUAUGAACUACUUCUACUUAUGCAGCAAAGUUACAAGAUUACAUAUGUGAAGUAAUUCAGAUUAGUGAGCAAUCCACUAAGUAAUAUGUGUUUCUAUUGGAUGAAACCUGUGCUUUUAUUUUCUGUUCGGAACAUUUGACUGAACCAUUUGUAUGCAUGUGCUUGCACGAUCCACAUCUGCAUGUAUUUGCUAGCAGUAUAUGCUACGCGCCCAUCUGAAGUUCCAGCAAAUCUGCAAUGUGGAUUUCGCCUUGGUUACUUAUGGUGCAUAAAUACAUAGCAUCAGUUGUUACUUCUGCUUGCCACAAGAUCACAUAUAAAGUGCUCCACGUUACAUUAGCAAGCAAUCCACUAGUAGUACUAGUACAAAUACGUGCCCUGUAUAUGUGCCCUUUUCGUAGUUGGAUGGACUAUGUUUUCUUCUUCUGUAACAUUUAGCUGGGCCAUUGACAUGUAUGUCCUUCAACAUGGCAUUGCAGGCAGCAUGAGCUAACAAAUGUCGUCGACAUGUACUUGAUCGCGCAUGCCUCCGCUUCUUCUCCAGCCAUACUGUCAAGCACACUGCGUUUGCCAUGCCGUUUGAUCCGUCUUCGUUCUGCAACAAGAUGAGGCAAAUCAACCGACUCUUCUAACUUUAUACAGGGGACCAAAUCAUAUAUGUGAUGUUUUUUUUUGUUAUCUUGCAACAAAAUUGUAUCAAGUGAAGCAUACAAAGACGAUGAUCUCAUAGAUCGAUUGUCAUUAGCAGUGUCUUGUUAUGUUGCCCCUCGGUUAAUGCAUGAUUAAUCUUUUUUCUUGAACGGUGCGUGAGAGCCAGUCGGUUUCGGCCGCAGUUUCAACAGAAAUCUAAGUGAAGCUGUAAGGCUGAAGCCACGCCAAAUUCAGUCGGACAGAUUAUUUAGCGAUGCCUCAGUUUGUGCAGCGUUUGUUAUACAUGGGCACAUUCAGGUCCUUGCGUUGUUGUGAGGUAUUCCGAUUUGUCACCACACGUUCCAGAAACGUUGGUCAGGCCUUCUGCUGUCUGCUCUUUUGUAGCAACUUCUGCGUGAGUGGGGAGAUUUCAGAUGGAGUUGCAAUCAGAAAGAUGCAGUGCCCAAGCUUACUAGUAGUAGUAAGAAAAUGAUCCUCCGGUGAAAGUGAAAUCACGCACAAUUAGAGCAUCUCCAGCCGUUCGGCCCCAGGGCGCCGAAAAAGAGCGCCCUGGGGACGAGCCGGCGCUAGAUCGCCCCCUGGGGCUCGGUUUGCUCCCAGUCACGCGCCCACGGUCGCCGUGGGUUCGGCAAAAAGUUCGUUUCAAUUUUUUUGCAAACUCGGCGAAGUUCGGCCGAUUUUUGACGAAAUUUGUACAAAAACUUAAAAACAUGCAUGAACUAACUUAAAAACGAACUAAAAGCCUAAUAAGCCGCUGCCGCCAUCGUCUACAUGCCGAGAAGCCUGUAAAAGCGGGUGUAGUUGCCGCCGCCGCUGUCGUCGUCGUCAUUGCCGCGCGCCUCACCUGUGUGCCUGCUGCAUCCCUCGCCGGGGUCGCCGACAGCGGUUGACGGCCCGGACUCGCCCUCGUCGUCGCUGUCGAUGAUGAUAACGCCGCCCUCCUCGGCUACAUGGCGACGCUCCUCGGCGCGGCUACGGGCCUGGGUCUCCAGUUACGCCCGACGCUGGCGGCGCACCUGCUCGCGGACGUAGUCCUCCCUCACCCAUUUGAGGGCGGACUCGUCGUCGGGGGCCACCAUGCCGGUGUGCUCCGGCUUCACGGGGAGCAUGUCUGGCUCGGGCUUCGACCGGACCAGGCAGACGGAGCGCCUCGUCGGUGCAGUCGCAGGCGAGGGCUCGUUGAUGACGAGGGCGUCGCUGCGAGCACGACGCCCGAGCGGUGUCUCCUCCAGCUCGGGCUUGACGGGGCGGAGGGCCGGNNNNNNNNNNNNNNNNNNNNNNNNNNNNNNNNNNNNNNNNNNNNNNNNNNNNNNNNNNNNNNNNNNNNNNNNNNNNNNNNNNNNNNNNNNNNNNNNNNNNNNNNNNNNNNNNNNNNNNNNNNNNNNNNNNNNNNNNNNNNNNNNNNNNNNNNNNNNNNNNNNNNNNNNNNNNNNNNNNNNNNNNNNNNNGGCGUGUAGAAGAUUUACUUCGUGUAGUAUAGCAAUUCUGCACUGUAGCGGUACUGUAGCGCACUGUAGCAGCCUGGGGCCCGGGGCAUGGCCCAGUCCUAGCUCCGCCCCUGCCGGAGCCCGACGACGAGGACGACCCCGGCUCCAUCCGCCGCGGCAUCCAGGAACUGCCACGCCGAUGAGAGAAGGAGGUCCGCGUCGGGUACUCCAGCCGCGACACAUUGUCGGUCUCGAUGUGGUCGAGGACGGCGUCGAGUGUGCGGCCGGGGACGCCCCACCACUCGUGCCGUCCUUCGGAGUUGUGGCAGCCGCGGGGACAAUGUCGUUGACGGAGGCGAUCUGCUCCUCGCGACGGUGCUGGAAGUACAUCGUCCACAGCGUUUCGCUGUCGGGCGCGUACCUCGGCUCGUUCCGCUGCUCCUCCGUCAACGAGGAGCGGAUGCGGGUGAUCUCCGCCCGCCGUGCCGCCCCUUCGGGCACCGGCGGCACCGGGACGCCGCCGACGCUCAGUCUCCACGAGCCAGGCACGCGCAUAUCGGGGGGCGCCGGGUACUCGGCCUCGUACAGAAGGCGUGCCUCCGGCUCCUGGAGGUGUCGGCGGCCGAAGCCGUUCGCCGCUGCGCCGUCGCCUGGGUAUCUCUCCGCCAUGGUUUCGCUCGUCGGCGGGCAUGGGAGUGGUGGGAGAGCUCGCCGGCGGGGAAAAGGCUUUCACUGGAGGUAGAGGGGAGGCUACAGCGCUCACCGGCGGGGAGGGGCGCCUUUUUAUAGCCGAAGCGGGGUGGCCGGGGGGCGGCAUGCGGGCGAACGCGUGGCGCAUGCGGGCGGGACGCGCGUCUUCACUGCGCCGCCCGUGAGGCAUCAAUGGAGGCGACCGGCGCGGCAGCCUUCGCAUUGAUUCCCACGGGAACCGAGGCGAUGAGGUCGACGAAGCGCCUGUCUCGCUGACUUGGCGGGCCCGCGGCUGUUUCGCGCAAAAACACUCGCCCCGGCGCCCCCCGGCGCGUCGGGUUCGACCUGGGUCCGCCGGCGCUGAUUUCGGCCCAAGCCGGUGAAAAAUGGCUCCCGGGGACGUGACUAGGCCGUUUUUUCGGCGCCGGCGCAAAAAAAUCAUUCGGGGAGACCUUUCUAGGGGCGCGGCUGGAGAUGCUCUUUGACCAGGAGAUCUAUCAGACCUCAACUUAGCUUUUUCAAUGUUUGUCUAAGCUGGAUGACACAUGGGACCAUACCGCGCGGAGGACCCACAUGGUAGCAGCUCUGUGCCGGCAUGUGAUUGGUCGGAUCCGUUAACCCCUCUCCCCCCGUCGGUUAUUUCUACAGCGUUUGGAGGGACCGGUUUAGAGAGAGGGAGAGUCCGUCAGUCAGAGGCAGAGGUCGAGCCGUGGAGUAGAUCUCGCCGGCUGGGCUCGUCCCGGGGCUGGUGCGUCCUGCCUGCCGCCGGCGACCUCCUCGUCGGUGAGUACGUGCAGCAGCCCGGAGAGGUGCCAAAGGCUGGAUCUCGCAGAACAAGGACAUGAGGUAUAUUUCGUUUCUUCCUGAUCUGGAUCCGAUGAACUUAAACUCAUGGUGGUGUGCAUCUUCAGUUCAAAUUUCUGGUCUUCUUCCGUUCUAGGUUGUUUAAUCUAGUUUCCUCAAGUACCGGCCGGCCGGCCGGUGUGCGCAUCUUAAUCCUUCGGUGCAAAUCCUUGAUUAUCCAUGUUAGAUUUACUCCUAGGGUCUGCUUUAGUGAGGCCAUUUGUUGCCAGAUAAUUAGCACAUACUUCACUACUGACCUCUCUUUGUGAAGAAACAUAUAUCAGAUUAACAUCUUAAGUGCAAAUCAUUUGUGAUUCACUCUAGAUUCUGCUUAUUUUUUGCCUUGAUAAAUAGCUCAUUAUUCAUUGUUAUCUUCUCUUUAUGAAUAAAUAGUAUACUCAUGUUGACUUGCCUGCCAACUAAUUGUUUCAAAAUCUUCACAUGCACAGGUACUUGGGCAUGGAAUGGGAAUCACAAUUGUUGUGGUGGAAAUGAAGAAUAUCCUGUUAUUUGGCUGCUACCAUCGAUGUUCUUUUAGAUUGAACAUUGCCAUGAGCGUUUCUCUACGCAAUGAAUAUAUUAGAUCAAGCAUCAUGUCAUGGACACCAUAAGACUUUUCUGCGUUGAUAGUGAUGUCUACGGGUUGGAUCGUACUUCUGUUUAUCAGCUCACUGAAGUAACUCUCCUAGCUCAAAUGGGUUAAUUUCGUGUUUACAUGAUACACAAAUCUUCAGCUAUCCAUCUUCAUAUGAAUUGGUCUCGCUUAAUUUUGUAAUCUUCUGGAUAUAUGCUUACAUAUAAUAAAUGAUGUGAAGAUAGAUCAUAGAACAAAACCAUAAUCUUUAGUCUUAAGCAAGUUAGGGUAAACUAGAGAUAGAACACAACAGAAGCCACACACACGAAUGACAUGGAAAGCAGCAAAGAAAUAGUAAAAGAAGCUCUUGACUUGUAGAUUAUGUCAAAGUGAUAAUCUAGAGUCAAGCUUCUUUUACUAUUAGUUUCGAUCUACCUUGUCAUCUAUAGGAUUAGUUAUUAUAUCUAAGUAUGUUUUCAGAAGAUUAGAAGAUUAAGCAAGGUCACUUGAUAGGUAAAUUGAUAGCCGAAUGUUUUGUUUAUCAUGGAAAACCAGAGAUUAGCCUAUUUGAGCUCAGUGAUAGAGUUACUCAAUGAGAUCAUAAAUAGAAGCAUGAUUCAACCAAUAGACAUCAAUUUGAUGAAGGCAUGAAAAAUCUUAUUGUGUUAUGAUAUGAUGAUUGAUCCAAUAUGUUUUUGCCAAGUGAAGAAAAACACUAACAUGGCACUGAGUGAAAGCGAUCUAUACAAAGGCAAGAUUUGAAUAUUAUCCACCCGAAAGAGAAUGUCAGAUAUGACCACCAUCAGAAGAAGCAACAAUGCCACAAGUGAGCUCUCUUGUAUAUCCAUGUGCUAUUGUCGAUUCAGCGUCGCAUAUGUUGAGCGUUUAUGUUCUACAUGUGUUAGAUUUAGAAUAUUGUGGUGAGCACUUCCAUUCUUGCCAAUUGAGAUGGUGAGGCUCAGGAACACUUCAUUUGCCAUGGUGUUUUGAUUCGUCUUCUGCAGCAACAUGAAACUCUCAUUGUAAUUGUACCCACUUAUGCCUGAAUACUGCUAUUACUUCAGUUAGAUUCAAGAAGCACCAAGUUUCUGCAGCGCUCCUGCAUUUUGCUAAUGAUGAACUUCCUUCUCCAUUUCUUUCUUUUGUAAGGAAGAGUUAUGUACUUAUGAUGUAUGACUGGCUGGUUAAUUUUCUGUCAAUUCAACAACCAGUUUGUAUGGUGGCCAGUGCAAUUUGCCCGUAUGAACCAUUAGUUAUUAUAUAUGUACUGAUGUCUGGUUUGCCUGCUCUCCUGCAUUCUUCAUUACACUCCAUUGUUUGUAAUAACUUUAUUUCAGACUCGCAACCUAAAAUGCCGCAUUCAGUUUGUCCUAUGUUCUGAAGUUCCAUCUUCUAUUUGUCAUUUUGAUCAAAUAAACAGGGAAGUCGGCAGUGUCAUUUUGAUGUACCCGCUUAGGACCUGUAUUGAGUACAUCUUUCUGUUGGAGUACAACUGGAACUUGAUUUGCCAUUUCGUCUCGUGGGUACCUUUUCUGUCAAUCACUCUGGAGUGGAAGUAUUGCCCUCAACUGAUGCAACGCUUUCUGGACGAGAGAAUGAUUGGAUGUUGCCCUCAACUCAAGUGGCUCUUCUAUCUCUAUACAGGGGAGCAAAUCAUGUGAUGUUUUAUUUUGCUAUUUUGCGACCAAAUUGUAUGGUGCCGCAGACAAAUAAGACCUGUCUACUAGCAACUUGGUAUGAUAAAUUCACAGAAGCAUCUUGUUCAGUUGUUUCCACAGAUAUGUCUAACUGAAGUCUGUUUAAUUUGCACAAGAGAAUGAGCAUCAGUGAGUGACCAUGAGCAAGAGAAUGAGUAGGCUCUGCAAGAGCAGCGGUCGUAGGCAAUCCGAGUGUCUUCUUUGCAAGCGCCAUUUUCUUCCUGGACACAUGAGGAAUUGAUCUUUUUUUUUUGUUGCGAAGUAUGAGGAAUUGAUCUUAAUUUCACAACAACCAUAUAUGCAUGGAAUGGAAUCAGUAAAAUGGGUGCGCAUGGUGGUGCGCGGUGCCUAAUUUGAUUAAUGCAAACUAAUGCAUCUGCUCAGAGGCAUCUCUCUUGGUAAUGCAAACUAAGCAGUUUAUAACUAAACUAGUGCACACGCAAGCUGAGAGGCAUAGGUCGGAUCGUCUCAGGCACAUAGUACCAUAUUCACAAGCGCCAAAGAAACGGGCGGGAGUUUGAAUAUUGCAUGGGUGGAGUAAUUAACUAGAGUUGCUCACACGUACAAAUGGUCUCGAUCAGGGAGCAAGCGAGGAAUCUCUCGAUUAGGCACGACACCACGCUAGUAAAGUGCGUUGUAAUUUAACAGGCCACUGUAGUCGAAGCGGCAUCCAAGGAAACUUUUCUCCCAUCUCAAGAUCGCAUCGACCUUCAAUCUUAUGACAUGACACUUGGUACCGUGUCUACCACCUAGCUUAAAUACACAAAAUGCGUGUUAGUUCGUGUUACACACAUGGCUUAGACUAGCCACAGUGGAAGUAACUUCAACAGUAACAUCAAAUUCAACUCAGCAAAUUUGCUUAUGUGACAAUUAGUUCAAUGAGGAGAGAGGUAGUUGUAGUAACUUAGCUGGUUACUGUAAUAUCACACGUUCCAAUGCAAUAUGAGUCUAUAACCUAAUAAAUGAAUCUUUACAUGUUAUCACACUUAAGUUACUACCCAUUAUGAAGGUAAUAACAUAGUCUAGGGAUACGUGUAUGUUACUCUCCACUGUGGCUAGUAUUAGGUAUAAUUAGUUUAUAAGGCUGCUCCCAAUAUAUGAGUGCUUAGAUGAGGUGCUAAGCAUAUUAAAUAGCUUAGCAACUAUACUCCCCAAUAGGUGCUUAGCUUGUGUUUGCUAAGCUCACUACUAGGAAAGGGCUAUAGAUGAUAUGGCCACUAAUGGCGCACCAGAUAUGUGGUGCGUCACUACUAUAUAGUAAUGGCGCACCAUGAGUUGGUGCGCCAUUAGUGUGGUAGACACUAAUGGCGCACCAGACACACGGUGCACCAUUAGUAACAAUUUUUUUUCCAAAAAUACUAAUGGCGCAUCAGGGAAGAGUGCGUCAUUACUAGUUUAACUAGUAAUGGCGCACCACCAACGCAGUGCACCACUACUUUUUUUUGCAAAACUACGCACCUCAAGCUGGUGCUCCAUUAGUAACAAGGGUUACUAAUGGCGCAUUUGUGAGUGGUGCGCCAUUAGUAACCUGGGAUCAGCUACAUAUUUUGGACAGCCACACCUACACACUCACUUUUCCCACUUCAUUCUCUCCACCUUCUUCUCCAAGCUUGUGUCGGCUGCCUCCUCCUCCUCACCUCAUUUGCACCAUAAAUUCAUCAAAAUUAAGUGGUUAAAUUACCUUUUUUAUAGGUAAGUAAGGGAAAAACUAUCUUUAUGUUGUAGAUCUACUUUUUUUCUCCCUAGCUCGCUCCAACAACGUGCACAUGCACUUUUUAUGGCCUUGCUAGAUCUAUGUAUGUUUGUGGUGUUGCAUAUAUGUUUGUAUUUGCAGGUACCGGUAUUUGAAAUGCGAUAGUUGCCAAUAUUUUGCCGGAAUGUUGAUUCAUUUCCGUUUCGGCGAGAAUUCUGGCACUAUGCAUUCUUUUUGGUCCUAUUUUUAGGGAAAGUCAUGCCAAAUUUUUUCUUGGUUCUAAAAUAUCGUUUUGCUCUACCCCGCAUGCGACCAUGGUCCGCACGAUGACCGAAGGCAUCGUGAAUAGGUUUUUGAGCUCCGCGAAGGCCGAGAUGCUUCAAAAGAACGAGACGGAGAUAAGAUGUCCGUGUCGAAGAUGCAAGCUGAAGAGCCUUAUUGCGGACUCGGAUUCCGGGCAGGUGCGGGACCACCUGCUCUUGCGUGGUUUCAUGGAUGGCGCUAUCGGUGACAAGGUGAUGAAGAUGACUAUGAAGUCGUCCAUGGGGGCCGGGCAAGAAAUAAGGAAGGGCAGCAAGACAAUCACCGCGGCGAGGGCGGGCGAGAAGACGGAGAAUCUCCAGGACAUGAUCACGACGGUGAUACUGUACACAGUCAUCAUGUAGAAGAUGCCGGACAUGAUGAUGAGGAAGAUCAAGACGAAGGGCAUGAUCAUGAAGAUGAAGAUGUCGGAGCAGACGACGAUGGAGGCUGGGUGCAGGACCCUCAUAUUCAAGAGCUACUUCUCAAGCUGACGGAUAACACAAGAGCUGCCGCCCGAGAGAAAGCCAAGCUGGAUCAACUAGAGAUAGACGCGGUUACUCCAUUGUAUGAAGGAUGAAGGCUCGAGGAUACCCGCCUGAAAGUAACACUCAUGGCUCUGGAGAUGAAGGUAAAACACAAAAUGACCGACACAUACUUCGAUGAGAACAUGUCAUUCUGGCACGAACGUCUUCCCAAGGGGAACAAGUGCCCGACCAGUUUCGAGGAGGCGAAGAAAAUUGUGUGUCCUCUGGAUUUACCGCACGUGAAAUACCAUGUGUGCAUGAACAAUUGCAUCAUUUAUCGGGACAAGCACGUGGAGUCUACCAUAUGUCCGGUGUGCGGCGUCACUCGAUACAAGAAGAGGAAGAAAGCUCCUCGAAAAGUGGUGUGGUACUUUCCGAUCACUCCUCGUCUGCAGUGGUAUUUCGUGGACCCUAAGGUAGCAAAGCUCCUGCGUUGGCACGCGGAUAGGGAGGAGAAGAAGCGAGAAGAUGACGGAAAUGAUACGGAGAUAAAUAAAAAAGACAAGAUGCUGAGUCACCCUAAGGAUGCGAGCCAGUGGCAAGCGUUGAACUUCGAAGACCCAGAAUUUGGGAACGAUCUAAGGAACAUCAUGCUGGGCGCGAGCACCGAUGGAGUCAAUCCGUUUGGCAGCCAGAGAAGCACACAUAGCACCUGGCCUGUGUUUGUGUGGAUGUACAAGCUUCCCCCUGGUUGUGCAUGAAGAGGAAAUACAUUCACAUGAGUAUGCUAAUUGAAGGGCCGAAACAACCAGGGAACGACAUCAAUCUGUAUCUGGGGCUGCUGAAAGAGGAGCUAGACAUGUUGUGGAAAAUGCCAGCCAAUACGUGGGACGCCGCAGAGAAAUAAUAUUUCCCUAUGAGAGCCGCACUGCUCACGACGGUGCACGACUAUCUCGGUUACUGAUAUCUCGCGGGGCAGGUGGUCCACGGACUUUCUGGAUGCGUCGGGUGCAUGGAUGACACAACGUAUCGCCAGCUAGAUAGAGAUCCCGGGUCUUCGAAAACUGUGUUCAUGGGACAUAGAAGGUGGCUUCGCGACGAUGACCCGUGGAGAAAACGCAAGGAUCUGUUCGAUGGUGAAACCAAACCCCGAAGAUGCCUGCAUACGAGGAGCGGCGAGGAAAUAGACGAGCUGUUGAAAAAUUGGAAAGAUUGCCCACUGCCGGGAAAGAAGCAAAAGGCGCCAGAGCCGGGAAAGAAGCGAAAGGCGCCAGAGCCCCUGCUGAAGGUAUGGAAAACGAGGUCUGUUUUCUGGGACUUGUCAUACUGGAAGAUCCACCGUGUGCCUCACAGCCUUGAUGUCAUGCAUAUCACGAAGAACGUGUGCGAGAGUCUGCUUGGUACCCUGCUCAACAUGCCAGAGAGGACCAAAGAUGGGCCGAAAGCAAGGGCAGACAUGAAAUCAAUGGGCAUCAGGGAGGAGCUUCACGCUAAUGAUGAUGAUGAUGAGGGAAGCAGGACAAAGAAAGUUGUCGCAAAGGCAAAAAGGCCAAGAAGACCGGAAAUGACUACCCUCCCGUGUGCUUCACUCUAAGUCAGGAGGAGAUCGAGUAGUUUUUCACCUGUCUCAUAGGAGUAAAACUUCCUUACGGUUACGCGGGGAAGAUAAGCAGAUACCUAGACCCAGCGAAGCAGAAGUGAAGGAAAUAUGCCCUAGAGGCAAUAAUAAAGUUAUUAUUUAUUUCCUUAUAUCAUGAUAAAUGUUUAUUAUUCAUGCUAGAUUUGUAUUAUCCGGAAACAUAAUACUUGUGUGAAUACAUAGACAAACCAAACGUCACUAGUAUGCCUCUACUUGACUAGCUCGUUAAUCAAAGAUGGUUAUGUUUCCUAACCAUAGACAUGUGUUGUCAUUUGAUUAAUGGGAUCACAUCAUUAGGAGAAUGAUGUGAUUGACAUGACUCAUUCCAUUAGCUUAGCACCCGAUCGUUUAGUAUGUUGCUAUUGCUUUCUUCAUGACUUAUACAUGUUCCUAUGACUAUGAGAUUAUGCAACUCCCGUUUGUCGGAGGAACACUUUGUGUGCUACCAAACGUCACAAUGUAACUGGGUGAUUAUAAAGGAGCUCUACAGGUGUCUCCAAAGGUACAUGUUGGGUUGGCGUAUUUCGAGAUUAGGAUUUGUCACUCCAAUUGUCGGAGAGGUAUCUCUGGGCCCUCUCGGUAAUGCACAUCACAUAAGCCUUGCAAGCAUUACAACUAAUGAGUUAGUUGCAAGAUGAUGUAUUACAAAACGAGUAAAGAGACUUGCCGGUAACGAGAUUGAACUAGGUAUUGAGAUACCGACGACCGAAUCUCGGGCGAGUAACAUACCGAUGACAAAGGGAACAACGUAUGUUGUUAU
rnacentral:lncRNA from 1 species